UUGAGUGAUGCACGAACGGAAGUGAGUGACGUACGGACAGAGAACUAGGUUCUGGCACGUGUUGCUGUUAUGCACAUGUGAUAAAUAAAGUAAGCAAUGAUACUGCUUUAAUCAUCCAUUCUGUAUAGUUUAAUAAAACAGAACAGAAUGAAACAUGGUGGCAGCCGUCGUGAAUUCAGCCGAGGCGAAAGAAUAUCGAGCCGUGAGGAGUGAAAAGUGAAAAGUGCCGUUAGCUUGUUGUAGUUAGCCUAGCACGCGAGAUCGAGCAAGGGAUUACACAGUGUAUACGGAGCCUAAACCGGAGCAGAAAAGAGCGUCAGACGUCGCGAUGAAUGGUCUCAAGACGCCUCCAAUACUUUGUUUGGAUUCAGACAACUUAGCGAAAACUUGGAAAGUUUUCCAAGACCUCACUAUGCCCGAUGCAGAAGAGACAACUAAAGUUAAGUUGUUUAAUUACCUCCUCGGAGAGAGAGGGAGGGAACAUUUAGCAACGCUGACAAGCGGUGAUGUAUCUGCGCGGAGGACAGUGAGUACGAUGACGACGCAGUUUGAUAAACAUUGCAAUCCGCAACUGAAUGAGACUGUUGAGCGAUAUAAGUUUUUUGUUAGAGACCAAGGACAAGACGAAAAUAUUGACAGAUAUGUCACAGAUUUGAGAGUAUUGGCCAGCACGUGCAAUUUUGGUGACAUUAAGGACUCACUAAUAAGCGACCGCAUUGUGUGUGGUACACAGCCCUGAGAUGAGGGAAAUAAUCCAAGGAGAGACAAAAUGGACGAGAUUAACUGUAACUUUUGUGGUAACAUACAUGAGAAAAAUAAACACAGAUGUCCAGCCUAUGGAAAGAAGUGUAAGAAAUAUGGAAAGGAGAACACUUUUCUGCAAAAUGCAAGUCCAGGUUUGAGAAAAACAAGAAAGGCAGACCUGUACACAAAAUUUCAGAAUCAAGUGAGUCGUGUGAGGACAUCAUGACAAUAACAGAUGUCAGUGAAAACCAAGAUACAAUAAAUCAAGUGAAAGAAGCACACAGCAAAAGUCAACAUCUCUUUGCAGAUACCACCAGCUCAGAUCUCAGCAUGUCUGUCGGACAUAUCAUCUUGGAUGACGGCUCAUCGGUUGAAACUCAAUCCCAGCAAAACAACUGUUGAUCAGGAAACAUUUGGAUUCCGUAGCUCAUGGCUGGUCUAUUUGAGUGUAUACUUCUCUCCAAAACUUCUUUGACCACUGGUCACAAGAUUAGAAGCUACUUGAUGCUGAGAAGCUACUUCAUGCAUUCAUGAUCUCCAGACUGGACUAUUGUAAUGCAUUACUAGGUGCUUGUCUUGCAUCUUUAAUAAAUAGGCUACAGUUAGUCCAAAAUGCAGCUGCCAGAUUUCUCUCUUAUAUAAUCAUAUAACCCCAAUUCUAUUAUCUCUACACUGGCUACCUGAAACGUAGAGUGAUGUUAAUAAGUACAGAGUUUGGGGCAAAGGACCUGUACUGCCCUUUAAACUCAAACACACUGAAACUUUGCAGAUCUGUUUGAAAUGGAAAUCAGUCUCUCUUUCUAUAAAAGAAAAGUCAAGUCAAGAAGCUUUUAUUGUUAUUUCAACCAUAAUAUAGCUGUUGCAGUAUACAGUGAAAUGAGGCAACAGGACAAGAGAGUGAAAGUCAAGACAAACAAGUCAGUGCAGGACAAGACAAACAAGACACUGCAGGACAAAAGACAGUGCAGGACAAGACAAACAGGACAGUGCAGGACAAAAGACAAAAAAGAAAUAAAGGCAGUGCAGGACAAAAAGACACUGCAGGAUAAAAGACAAAAAUCCAGAAAG